rnacentral:miRNA from 1 species
CCCACAAGUCCGUCUGACAUAGAAUGAUAUUUAUUCUUUCCUUUUAUAUAUAUGAGAAUAAAUAUCAUUCUAUGUCAGACGGACUUAUGGG